rnacentral:rRNA from 1 species
GACGAACGCUGGCGGCGUGCUUAACACAUGCAAGUCGAACGAAGAGCGAUGGAAGCUUGCUUCUAUCAAUCUUAGUGGCGAACGGGUGAGUAACGCGUAAUCAACCUGCCCUUCAGAGGGGGACAACAGUUGGAAACGACUGCUAAUACCGCAUACGAUCUAAUCUCGGCAUCGAGGAUAGAUGAAAGGUGGCCUCUACAUGUAAGCUAUCACUGAAGGAGGGGAUUGCGUCUGAUUAGCUAGUUGGAGGGGUAACGGCCCACCAAGGCGAUGAUCAGUAGCCGGUCUGAGAGGAUGAACGGCCACAUUGGGACUGAGAAACGGCCCAGACUCCUACGGGAGGCAGCAGUGGGGAAUCUUCCGCAAUGGACGAAAGUCUGACGGAGCAACGCCGCGUGAGUGAUGACGGCCUUCGGGUUGUAAAGCUCUGUUAAUCGGGACGAAAGGCCUUCUUGCGAAUAGUGAGAAGGAUUGACGGUACCGGAAGAGAAAGCCACGGCUAACUACGUG